rnacentral:rRNA from 1 species
CCUACGGGAGGCAGCAGUGAGGAAUAUUGGUCAAUGGGCGCGAGCCUGAACCAGCCAAGUCGCGUGAGGGAGGACGGCCCUACGGGUUGUAAACCUCUUUUGCCGGGGAGCAACGGGCGCCACGUGUGGCGUCACUGAGAGUACCCGGAGAAAAAGCAUCGGCUAACUCCGUGCCAGCAGCCGCGGUAAUACGGAGGAUGCGAGCGUUAUCCGGAUUUAUUGGGUUUAAAGGGUGCGUAGGCGGAUCGUUAAGUCAGUGGUCAAAUUGAGGGGCUCAACCCCUUCCCGCCAUUGAAACUGGCGUUCUUGAGUGGAAGAGAAGUAUGCGGAAUGCGUGGUGUAGCGGUGAAAUGCAUAGAUAGCACGCAGAACCCCGAUUGCGAAGGCAGCUUACCAAGCUACUUCUGACGUUGAGGCACGAAAGCGUGGGGAGCAAACAGGAUUAGAUACCCCUGUAGUC